rnacentral:rRNA from 1 species
AGUGAACGCUGGCGGUAGGCCUAACACAUGCAAGUCGAACGGCAGCACAGUAAGAGCUUGCUCUUACGGGUGGCGAGUGGCGGACGGGUAAGGAAUACAUCGGAAUCUACUUUUUCGUGGGGGAUAACGUAGGAAAACUUACACUAAUACCGAAUACGACCUACGGGUGAAAGCAGGGGAUCUUCGCACCUUGCGCGAUUGAAUGAGCCGAUGUCGGAUUAGCUAGGUGGCGGGGUAAAGGCCCACCAAGGCGACGAUCCGUAGCUGGUCUGAGAGGAUGAUCCGCCACACUGGAACUGAGACACGGUCCAGACUCCUACGGGAGGCCGCAGUGGGGAAUUGUGGACAAUGGGCGCAAGCCUGAUCCAGCCAUACCGCGUGGGUGAAGAAGGCCUUCGGGUUGUAAAGCCCUUUUGUUGGGAAAGAAAAGCAGCGGGUUAAUACCCCGCUGUUCUGACGGUAACCAAAGAAUAAGCACCGGCUAACUUCGUG